rnacentral:rRNA from 1 species
UUAAGCGACUAAGCGUACACGGUGGAUGCCCUGGCAGUCAGAGGCGAUGAAGGACGUGCUAAUCUGCGAUAAGCGUCGGUAAGGUGAUAUGAACCGUUAUAACCGGCGAUUUCCGAAUGGGGAAACCCAGUGUGUUUCGACACACUAUCAUUAACUGAAUCCAUAGGUUAAUGAGGCGAACCGGGGGAACUGAAACAUCUAAGUACCCCGAGGAAAAGAAAUCAACCGAGAUUCCCCCAGUAGCGGCGAGCGAACGGGGAGCAGCCCAGAGCCUGAAUCAGUGUGUGUGUUAGUGGAAGCGUCUGGAAAGGCGCGCGAUACAGGGUGACAGCCCCGUACACAAAAAUGCACAUGCUGUGAGCUCGAUGAGUAGGGCGGGACACGUGGUAUCCUGUCUGAAUAUGGGGGGACCAUCCUCCAAGGCUAAAUACUCCUGACUGACCGAUAGUGAACCAGUACCGUGAGGGAAAGGCGAAAAGAACCCCGGCGAGGGGAGUGAAAAAGAACCUGAAACCGUGUACGUACAAGCAGUGGGAGCACGCUUAGGCGUGUGACUGCGUACCUUUUGUAUAAUGGGUCAGCGACUUAUAUUCUGUAGCAAGGUUAACCGAAUAGGGGAGCCGAAGGGAAACCGAGUCUUAACUGGGCGUUAAGUUGCAGGGUAUAGACCCGAAACCCGGUGAUCUAGCCAUGGGCAGGUUGAAGGUUGGGUAACACUAACUGGAGGACCGAACCGACUAAUGUUGAAAAAUUAGCGGAUGACUUGUGGCUGGGGGUGAAAGGCCAAUCAAACCGGGAGAUAGCUGGUUCUCCCCGAAAGCUAUUUAGGUAGCGCCUCGUGAAUUCAUCUCCGGGGGUAGAGCACUGUUUCGGCAAGGGGGUCAUCCCGACUUACCAACCCGAUGCAAACUGCGAAUACCGGAGAAUGUUAUCACGGGAGACACACGGCGGGUGCUAACGUCCGUCGUGAAGAGGGAAACAACCCAGACCGCCAGCUAAGGUCCCAAAGUCAUGGUUAAGUGGGAAACGAUGUGGGAAGGCCCAGACAGCCAGGAUGUUGGCUUAGAAGCAGCCAUCAUUUAAAGAAAGCGUAAUAGCUCACUGGUCGAGUCGGCCUGCGCGGAAGAUGUAACGGGGCUAAACCAUGCACCGAAGCUGCGGCAGCGACGCUUAUGCGUUGUUGGGUAGGGGAGCGUUCUGUAAGCCUGUGAAGGUGUGCUGUGAGGCAUGCUGGAGGUAUCAGAAGUGCGAAUGCUGACAUAAGUAACGAUAAAGCGGGUGAAAAGCCCGCUCGCCGGAAGACCAAGGGUUCCUGUCCAACGUUAAUCGGGGCAGGGUGAGUCGACCCCUAAGGCGAGGCCGAAAGGCGUAGUCGAUGGGAAACAGGUUAAUAUUCCUGUACUUGGUGUUACUGCGAAGGGGGGACGGAGAAGGCUAUGUUGGCCGGGCGACGGUUGUCCCGGUUUAAGCGUGUAGGCUGGUUUUCCAGGCAAAUCCGGAAAAUCAAGGCUGAGGCGUGAUGACGAGGCACUACGGUGCUGAAGCAACAAAUGCCCUGCUUCCAGGAAAAGCCUCUAAGCAUCAGGUAACAUCAAAUCGUACCCCAAACCGACACAGGUGGUCAGGUAGAGAAUACCAAGGCGCUUGAGAGAACUCGGGUGAAGGAACUAGGCAAAAUGGUGCCGUAACUUCGGGAGAAGGCACGCUGAUAUGUAGGUGAAGUCCCUCGCGGAUGGAGCUGAAAUCAGUCGAAGAUACCAGCUGGCUGCAACUGUUUAUUAAAAACACAGCACUGUGCAAACACGAAAGUGGACGUAUACGGUGUGACGCCUGCCCGGUGCCGGAAGGUUAAUUGAUGGGGUCAGCGCAAGCGAAGCUCUUGAUCGAAGCCCCGGUAAACGGCGGCCGUAACUAUAACGGUCCUAAGGUAGCGAAAUUCCUUGUCGGGUAAGUUCCGACCUGCACGAAUGGCGUAAUGAUGGCCAGGCUGUCUCCACCCGAGACUCAGUGAAAUUGAACUCGCUGUGAAGAUGCAGUGUACCCGCGGCAAGACGGAAAGACCCCGUGAACCUUUACUAUAGCUUGACACUGAACAUUGAGCCUUGAUGUGUAGGAUAGGUGGGAGGCUUUGAAGUGUGGACGCCAGUCUGCAUGGAGCCGACCUUGAAAUACCACCCUUUAAUGUUUGAUGUUCUAACGUUGACCCGUGAUCCGGGUUGCGGACAGUGUCUGGUGGGUAGUUUGACUGGGGCGGUCUCCUCCUAAAGAGUAACGGAGGAGCACGAAGGUUGGCUAAUCCUGGUCGGACAUCAGGAGGUUAGUGCAAUGGCAUAAGCCAGCUUGACUGCGAGCGUGACGGCGCGAGCAGGUGCGAAAGCAGGUCAUAGUGAUCCGGUGGUUCUGAAUGGAAGGGCCAUCGCUCAACGGAUAAAAGGUACUCCGGGGAUAACAGGCUGAUACCGCCCAAGAGUUCAUAUCGACGGCGGUGUUUGGCACCUCGAUGUCGGCUCAUCACAUCCUGGGGCUGAAGUAGGUCCCAAGGGUAUGGCUGUUCGCCAUUUAAAGUGGUACGCGAGCUGGGUUUAGAACGUCGUGAGACAGUUCGGUCCCUAUCUGCCGUGGGCGCUGGAGAACUGAGGGGGGCUGCUCCUAGUACGAGAGGACCGGAGUGGACGCAUCACUGGUGUUCGGGUUGUCAUGCCAAUGGCACUGCCCGGUAGCUAAAUGCGGAAGAGAUAAGUGCUGAAAGCAUCUAAGCACGAAACUUGCCCCGAGAUGAGUUCUCCCUGACCCUUUAAGGGUCCUGAAGGAACGUUGAAGACGACGACGUUGAUAGGCCGGGUGUGUAAGCGCAGCGAUGCGUUGAGCUAACCGGUACUAAUGAACCGUGAGGCUUAACCUU